rnacentral:rRNA from 1 species
GGCUUUUUGAAAAUGAUUUAAGGUCUAGCCUGCCCAAUGAUGUAAUAAUUUAAUGGCCGCAGUAUUCUGACUGUGCAAAGGUAGCAUAAUCAUUAGUUUUUUAAUUGAAAGCUUGUAUGAAAGGUUUGAUGAGAAAAAAGCUGUCUCUAUAUAAAUUUUUAGAAAUUUAUUUUUAAGUUAAAAAGCUUAAAUUUUCAUUGAAGACGAGAAGACCCUAUAGAGUUUGAUUUAUAUAAUAGUAGAUAAAAUUUAGUAAUUAAAAACUUAUUUAUUAUCAUAUAAAUUUAGUUGGGGUGAUUGAAAAAUUUAUAAAACUUUUUUUGUAUCUUUACACUUAUUUGUGAGUAUUUGAUCCUUUAUAGAUUAUAAGAUGAAAUUACCUUAGGGAUAACAGCGUAAUUUUUUUUAGAGUUCUUAUCGAAAAAAGAGAUUGCGACCUCGAUGUUGGAUUAAAAAUAAAUUUUUGGUGUAGAAGCUAAUAAAUUAGGUCUGUUCGACCUUUAAAUUUUUACAUGAUCUGAGUUUAAACCGGUGUAAG